UAGUCCACGCCGUAAACGAUGAGAACUAGAUGUUGGGAGGGUUAGCCUCUCGGUGUCGCAGCUAACGCAUUAAGUUCUCCGCCUGGGGAGUACGCCGGCAACGGUAAAACUCAAAGGAAUUGACGGGGACCCGCACAAGCGGUGGAGCAUGUGGUUUAAUUCGAUGCAACGCGAAGAACCUUACCUGCCCUUGACAUACAGAGAACUUUCCAGAGAUGGAUUGGUGCCUUCGGGAGCUCUGAUACAGGUGCUGCAUGGCUGUCGUCAGCUCGUGUCGUGAGAUGUUGGGUUAAGUCCCGCAACGAGCGCAACCCUUGUCCUUAGUUGCCAGCACGUAAUGGUGGGAACUCUAAGGAGACCGCCGGUGACAAACCGGGAGGAAGGUGGGGACGACGUCAAGUCAUCAUGGCCCUUAUGGGGUCGGGGCUACACACGUGCUACAAUGGGCAAUGACAGAGGGCAGCUAGACCGCGAGGGUCAUGCUAA
rnacentral:rRNA from 1 species